rnacentral:snRNA from 11 species
AUCUUUGCGCUUGGGGCAAUGACGCAGCUAGUGAGGUUCUAACCGAGGCGCGUCAAUUGCUGGUUGAAAACUAUUUCCAAACCCCCUCCUUGGCCUGGGUUACGCCCAGGCCAUCGAGAAUUUCUGGAAGGGCUCCCUAAGGGGUAAAGCC